GGGGAAUAUUGGACAAUGGGCGCAAGCCUGAUCCAGCCAUGCCGCGUGGUGAAGAAGGCCUUCGGGUUGUAAAGCCCUUUUGGUGGGGAAGAAAAGCAGCCGGCCAAUACCCGGUUGUUUCUACGGUACCCCAAGGAUUAAGCCCCGGCAAACUUGGGUCCGCAGCGGCGGUAAUACGAAGGGUGCAAGCGUUACUCGGAAUUACUGGGCGUAAAGCGUGCGUAGGUGGUGGUUUAAGUCCGUUGUGAAAGCCCUGGGCUCAACCUGGGAACUGCAGUGGAUACUGGAUCACUAGAGUGUGGCAGAGGGUAGUGGAAUUCCCGGUGUAGCAGUGAAAUGCGUAGAGAUCGGGAGGAACAUCAGUGGCGAAGGCGACUGCCUGGGCCAACACUGACACUGAGGCACGAAAGCGUGGGGAGCAAACA
rnacentral:rRNA from 1 species